rnacentral:lncRNA from 1 species
GCCUCUGUGAAGGGGCCCCUCUUUCCUGGUGUUCUGGGUCCCUCUCCUCCCAGCUCCACUGCAGCAUCCAGAUUUCUCGAAGUGGCUGAUGUGUGUCUCAUGAUGAGUACUGAACAUCAUAAAAGGAGAAGUGACAAGCAAGCCCGAGUCUAGAGAGUAAGAGAAGCCACAGGCUAAGAAGUGGGACCAUGGCUUAGAAGACCAGAACAGAAGAAAAAGCAAG